UAAUACGUAGGGUGCAAGCGUUAAUCGGAAUUACUGGGCGUAAAGCGCACGCAGGCGGUUUGUUAAGUCAGAUGUGAAAUCCCCGGGCUCAACCUGGGAACUGCAUUUGAAACUGGCAAGCUAGAGUCUCGUAGAGGGGGGUAGAAUUCCAGGUGUAGCGGUGAAAUGCGUAGAGAUCUGGAGGAAUACCGGUGGCGAAGGCGGCCCCCUGGACGAAGACUGACGCUCAGGUGCGAAAGCGUGGGGAGCAAACAGGAUUAGAUACCCUGGUAGUCCACGCUGUAAACGAUGUCGAUUUGGAGGUUGUGCCCUUGAGGCGUGGCUUCCGGAGCUAACGCGUUAAAUCGACCGCCUGGGGAGUACGGCCGCAAGGUUA
rnacentral:rRNA from 1 species